AUUCAGAAUUCCACCAUAGAAGUCAAUCACAGCAGCUAUUUGGUUUCCCAAAGUCUUGCCUUCAAUAACAACUUCAUUCUAGGUAUAACAAGAGCUAACUAAGCAAUGAAAAAGUACCAGGAUAAGAUCCAGAAGGUGAAGAAAUCUUAGAGAGAUUUUAUCCGCAUUCCUCUACCCGGAUCUUUGUGAUGUGGAGUGAUGAAUACUGAAUUUCUGAAAACUUUCUUCUUCUGCUUGGCUCCUUUCAAGUAUAACUUCAGGUCUUUUAUCUGGGUUUUCUCAUCUCUAUGGAAUCUGCAAACCAGAAUUUAAAAAGCCAGAAACUCUGGGACUAUAUGAAGAACACAGUCUGAGUGAGUGCCAAGCAUACAUAAGUAAGAGAGUCAAAUCUGCAUCCAUGAAUGACUUCUGUUAAAUCACUUAUCUUCAACCAACAGGUUUCCUCAUUAUUAAGUUGUGGAAAGUAACUUUUGCCUCUUACAUCACCAGAAUAUUGUAAGGGUGUUGCAAUGAAAUAUACAUAAGCUUCCUUUGAGAGAAGAAAUUUGUGAAACAUAAAUUCAUUACACAAACCGCUUUCCAUUAGAAGAGUUGAAACAGGAUACAGUCCUGACUAAGCCACAGUUCUAACAAGCAGAGAUCACUGGUGCAGGCCCACAGGAAGCAUGUUUCUUUAGCCCAUUAGAAACUAUUUACUAUUUUCAUACAAAACUUUUACCACAAAAGGUACACAAAUUAUUAUAUAUGAUAGGGUAAAGGUUUGUGGUUAAAAUCUCCUGUAACUUAAAACUAACCAAGCUUAAUGUACAUGGAAAGUUUCUUCCAUUAAUAGGUUAUAGAAACCAUUCUCUAAAAAGCUUAGAAUUGUAUUUUUUAACUUAGCUGCCUUAGAAGCUGAAACAAAACUGCACUGAAUUGACAUACUAUAAAAAAGAAUUCUAUAAAUUAGUAAACAAGGUAAAUUUUCUUAAUUUGCUAUAGUUGAUAUAGUUCUGUAACA